UUUCUAAUUCUAAGAUAUAAGAAAUAUAUCUUUGCAAAAUUCCAAUAUUAUAAAUAACGAUAUAUAAUUAAUAUAAUUAAUAUAUAUUAUAUAAUAUUUCAAUUUUCCGCGCGGUUUUAUAUUGAAGAAAUAAGCAUCAUAUACCAGCCAAUCAGAACGUCGCUUAAUUCGAGACGCGGGAGGAAUCAGUGCGCAUCAGAGUGCGCAUGGCGUUAGUCUACAAGUGAAAAUUGUGACAAGAGGACGGUUCAUCGCAAAUUCGGAUUACGCAGUUUUAUGGGUAACAUGAUAGCUCCCAAAAGGCGGGAAAAAUUCCAAUAUGGACGCCAUGUCUUUCUUGAUAACCUGUAAAAUUUUAUAUUUCGUAUGUAUAAAUUUUUAUUCCGUUUUAUCGAAUUAUCAGUGAUUGUUGGUAAGCAAUUAAUAAUAAAAUUACGUUUUAAUUGAAAGAAAGUGAAAAAAUUAAAAAUUAUUUGAGAAAUUUUAACGAUUUAUCAUUGGAUAUUAAAUUUUAAAAUCUAAUGACGACAUUUUCAUAUAUUAAUAAAUAAUUGGUAACAUUUUUAUAUAUAAUUCAUAAUUAAAAUAAAAUUGUAGUACUUUCAGAACAAAUGCUCGUUAAGAAGAAAAAGAAAAAUAUCAAAAAGAUAUUCUUUUUCUUCUUUCAUUCUCCCUCUAUUAAUUUACUGUUAAUUUCAGAAAAUAUUUGUGACCGCGUGCAAUGCGGUUAAUAGAAUCAGUGUUUUAUUCGUCAUAGUAUUUUUAAAAUUUUGUAGAGCACAACAGCUCUGUUUAAAUUUAAGAAUAAUCAAACGCGAAGAUAGAGUCAGUGUUUGUUCGCCGAUUAUAAUUUAUUCGGACGCGUUAUUAGUUUCUUAUUUUUUUUUAUUCUCAAUAUUCGUUUUCGGUACCGAAUAGAAUCAGUGCUUCUCAAGAGAAUAGGGCGAUCAUCCACCACGCGAAGAGAUGCUGAUGAUCUUUAUGAAGAUUUUUCUUGAACUUUAAUCUUAAAAAAUAUUUGUGACCACGUGCAAUGUGGUUAUUAGAGUCAGUGUUUACUUCGUUUAGUAUUUUGAAUAUUUUUUAGAGCACUACAGCUCUGAUUAAAUUUAAUUAGAAUACUCAAACGCGAAAGUAGAAUCAGUGUUUAUUCGCCGAUUAUAAUUUAUACGGACGCGUUAUUAGUUUCUUAUUUUUCAUUUUUUUUUAUUUUAAAUAUUCGUUUUCGGUACAGGGUAGAUUCAGUGCUUCUCUCAAGAGAGUAAGACGAUCAUCCAUCACGCGAAGAGAUUUCUUCCAUCCUUCUAACUGAUGACGAUCUUCUGGAUGACUUCUGGGCUACUAGUGAAGGCGUUCGUCGCAUCAUACGGUGAGUCGCAUGUUUUUCGGUUCCUCCGGUCACUCAAUCAUGUCGUAGGAUGAAAGAUCCGAAUCGACACCGAGUGACUGGUUGUAUACGUAGAAUUUUGCCACGAGCACAGUGACCAUGGAUAUAUAUAUUUUAUGUAUCUGUGAAUAGUAACAUUUAUUUUCUCUGUAUUUAUUUAUUAGUUCAGGUUAGGUCUUCUUGUACCUCGCGUUUUUAAAUAUUAGUCCGAAGUUGAUUGUAGAAAGUUAAAUCAUAAUUUA